GGCCUGGUGUCCGAGGAGUUAGGAAGCGGUCUGCAAAACCGUCUACGUGGGUGCGAAUCCCGCCCAGGCCUCCA
rnacentral:tRNA from 1 species